rnacentral:rRNA from 1 species
GAUGAACGCUGGCGGCGUGCCUAAUACAUGCAAGUCGAGCGAAUGGAUUAAGAGCUUGCUCUUAUGAAGUUAGCGGCGGACGGGUGAGUAACACGUGGGUAACCUGCCCAUAAGACUGGGGUAACUCCGGGAAACCGGGGCUAAUACCGGAUAACAUUUUGAACCGCAUGGUUCGAAAUUGAAAGGCGGCUUCGGCUGGCACUUAUGGAUGGACCCGCGUCGCAUUAGCUAGUUGGGGAGGUAACGGCUCACCAAGGCAACGAUGCGUAGCCGACCUGAGAGGGUGAUCGGCCACACUGGGACUGAGACACGGCCCAGACUCCUACGGGAGGCAGCAGUAGGGAAUCUUCCGCAAUGGACGAAAGUCUGACGGAGCAACGCCGCGUGAGUGAUGAAGGCUUUCGGGUCGUAAAACUCUGUUGUUAGGGAAGAACAAGUGCUAGUUGAAUAAGCUGGCACCUUGACGGUACCUAACCAGAAAGCCACGGCUAACUACGUGCCAGCCGCCGCAGUAA